GGGGGGACGGGGGGAGGACAAUCCCCUCAGCGUUGGUGGACCUUUCCCCUCCAUACACCCCUCUUACACACUGGCCAGCGUUAGGCCCAGAUCGAUAUAUACAUACAUACAUACAUACAUACAUACAUACAUACAUACAUACAUACAUACAUACAUACAUACAUACAUACAUACAUACAUACAUACAUACAUACAUACAUACAUGCAUACAUACAUACAUACAUACAUACAUACAUACAUACAUACAUACAUACA
rnacentral:lncRNA from 1 species